CUUGCUUCUCUUGAGAGCGGCGGACGGGUGAGUAAUGCCUAGGAAUCUGCCUGGUAGUGGGGGAUAACGUUCGGAAACGGACGCUAAUACCGCAUACGUCCUACGGGAGAAAGCAGGGGACCUUCGGGCCUUGCGCUAUCAGAUGAGCCUAGGUCGGAUUAGCUAGUUGGUGGGGUAAUGGCUCACCAAGGCGACGAUCCGUAACUGGUCUGAGAGGAUGAUCAGUCACACUGGAACUGAGACACGGUCCAGACUCCUACGGGAGGCAGCAGUGGGGAAUAUUGGACAAUGGGCGAAAGCCUGAUCCAGCCAUGCCGCGUGUGUGAAGAAGGUCUUCGGAUUGUAAAGCACUUUAAGUUGGGAGGAAGGGUUGUAGAUUAAUACUCUGCAAUUUUGACGUUACCGACAGAAUAAGCACCGGCUAACUCUGUGCCAGCAGCCGCGGUAAUACAGAGGGUGCAAGCGUUAAUCGGAAUUACUGGGCGUAAAGCGCGCGUAGGUGGUUUGUUAAGUUGGAUGUGAAAUCCCCGGGCUCAACCUGGGAACUGCAUUCAAAACUGACUGACUAGAGUAUGGUAGAGGGUGGUGGGAAUUU
rnacentral:rRNA from 1 species